GCAGGGCACUGGUCAGCACGUGGCACAUCCCUCGGGGAUUCUGCAGCAUGCUCACACACGUGGAUCAAACACCGAUGUGAGCACAGUGUCACACCUUGGCAGACAAAAUGAAUGCAACCUCCUCUCCUGGGAGCACCCAGGAGGGGAAAAAACCUGCUGAAACAGCAGUUGUGCUUUGGUGGGAAGUAACUCGGGAUUCCUGCCAGACUGAUCCUCCCUGUGUGUUUGUGGCUGAACUCUACACACACCUGCAAGCGACUGUAAUGAAUCUGAAAGCCUUCCUGAAUCCGUGCUUUGUCAACGCCAGUGCACAUCCACAGUCAAGGCAGAGCUGAGAGCUCCUGGCCCCAGCAAUUGUCCAGGGGCAGCACAAAGCCCUGCCGAGUGGAGAAGUGGCCAGUAUCUGCAUUGCACAGCACCUCCCUCCCUUAUCUGCUGGCUGCUUGAGGGGGAGCAUGUGAAAAGGAGAGGAGGAAAGGUAAGGUGGCAGUUAAGCCUGGCCUAGAUGCAGGCUUCCAAAGGAAGGAGGAUCCUUGCAGGUUGCAGUACACAAAAUGCUUUCCACAGGGUGGAAAGGGAGAGGCUGCCUGAAGGACCAGUGAAUUCCAGGCUCUAGCAGAGGCAGAGAGGUGUGUGAGGACAGCCAGCCCCAUGCCAGG